rnacentral:rRNA from 1 species
AGUGAACGCUGGCGGUAGGCCUAACACAUGCAAGUCGAACGGCAGCACAGUAAGAGCUUGCUCUUACGGGUGGCGAGUGGCGGACGGGUGAGGAAUACAUCGGAAUCUACUUUUUCGUGGGGGAUAACGUAGGGAAACUUACGCUAAUACCGCAUACGACCUACGGGUGAAAGCAGGGGAUCUUCGGACCUUGCGCGAUUGAAUGAGCCGAUGUCGGAUUAGCUAGUUGGCGGGGUAAAUGCCCACCAAGGCGACGAUCCGUAGCUGGUCUGAGAGGAUGAUCAGCCACACUGGAACUGAGACACGGUCCAGACUACUGCGGGAGGCAGCAGUGGGGAAUAUUGGACAAUGGGCGCAAGCCUGAUACAGCCAUACCGCGUGGGUGAAGAAGGCGUUCGGGUUGUAAAGCCCUUUUGUUGGGAAAGAAAAGCAGCAGGUUAAUACCCCGCUGUUCUGACGGUACCCAAAGAAUAAGCACCGGCUAACUUCGUG